AACUGUUUAUUCCCAUUUCCUAUUGUUUACGUCACAAUCAAAAUCCGUGUAGUCCCAAAACACAUUAACUGCAGUUUUUACAAUAAUUGUUCUACAAUUCAUAAAACAGGUAAAAUGACAGACAGAAGAACAAUUUUUCUACUUCUGUCUCAAUAUGUCUUUAAUGAUAUUGAAUCAAGCACCGACGAGGAAGAUGAUUUGAAUGAUGAAUGAUUAUUGGAACCUAAUUAGUGUAAAAAGUUAUGACAUUACGAUAAUACAUGAAUUUAUGUUUUAAAAUUAUACCAAUAAUUUUUUCAAUGGAAUCAAAGAACUUGGGUUUUUUUUUGGUGUCGGAGGCUGCACUUCCAGUUUGGAAUUUUGAUAGAUAAGACCUGUAUUCUUUACGCAUGUUUUCCCACUUGGUCUUGCAUGUAUUCCCUUUGUCCUGUCCUCGAACAAUGAAAACUUCCUCUAACCCAUCUGCAAUUUGUUUCCAAAUUUGAUUCUUACUUGUUUUGGAAUCGUUUAGGGACUCCCAAUUAUCCUCUAAUAAAGCUUUAGUAGUAGUUAUGUAAUAAAUAUAAAUAGCAUUUUGCAUUAUAUGAAAUGUUAAAACACUUACUUAAAAAUAAUUCUGUUGCCUCGCAAUCAAUUUUAACUUGGAUUGCUGUCUUCUUGCCAUUCCAGCAUUCGUUCUUUGAUAAAUUGUUUAAAUCCCCGUUUUCCACGUUAUUUGCCAUUUUAUUUACUUCUCAAUAUUUCAAAAUAAUGGGAAUCAUGUCUAUCUUACAAGAAAACAGAACUAUAAGGGUGCGUUUUAUCGUCAACUUUUUAGCUCAACCUAAACCUAAAUUGAGCUCAAUCGGUAUUUUUUCGUUAACCAAUUCGUCACGGUUGAGCUCGAUUACCGUUUUAUGGUUAACAAAAAGUUCAACCAAGGUUGUGCUCGACCAAAUUUUGCGAGCUCAACCACAAAAGUUCAACCACAGUCCAGACUGCGGUUGAACUAAAUUCAAGUUGGUUGACCCUCCCACUUUGUAAUAAUUCUUUAUUUUUUUUAAUAUGGCAACCUUUGUUUGUUCACACAGUAGACAGCUUUGUUUAGAUAGGGACGUGGGUCGUGGUACACGUAUGUAAAAAUUUUUCUAUCACAAUGCAUACAAAGUGUGAUGAAGGUGUUUUAAGGCAAAGAGUUAGAGCUGGGAGUUGUGUCAAGCGGCAAAAGACAGUGGAGGAAUUGUUGCUAUUCGAGCCUUCAAGUGAUGAAGGCUCCGAUUGUAGUAGUGUCCAUGAAACUUCUACAAAAGUGGAUGUGAACAAGGAAAUUACUCCACCAUUAGUCCAGCGAAUUUGCUGGAAUAAUGUAAGAACAGCCUCUCAACUUAAAAUCAACGCUGAAGCAACCAAAGUUUUCUUAAAGAUCGUUGAACAUUACUGGCCCAGACUUUGCGACAGCAAAACCAAAAAUUCAGGUCUGUGGCAAGAGAUUGCCAUAAAGAUGCUUGAGAACGGGUUCCAGAUAAAAACACCUGAUCCUGGAAAGUCUGCGCAACAGAAGUGGAAUAACUUAAACAAAGAGUACAAAAAAUUUGUGCUCGCAGCAAAAGGAACUGGAGGGGGAGAAGAUGUUCUUGAUUGCAAGCCCCCAUUCUUUGAUGAAAUUGAAAAAAUUCUUGGAAAGGGUAAUGCAGCAUAUCCCGAAUAUAUUGGUGAUUCUUCGAUUUAAUUCUAAUAAUAAUUUAUGCUAAAAAACAGGGUUGUCAUAUGUAUUUUUAAUCACAUGUAAACAGACAUAAGAAAUACAUCAACUUUAUAGUUGAACUACAGCUCAACGGUGCUCCAGACCACCGUUGACAAAGUUCAACUUUUUCAGUUCAACUUCAACUUUUCGUUGACGCCAAAAUGCGUUUGUCAACUGAAGCCAGUAGAAUUGUUUACGCGAAAACGACGGUUGACCAAAAAAGUUGAACUGAAGGUUGACGCCAAAAUGCGCCCCAAGUUUUGCAACAUGGGGUCGAAUUCUGACUCUCUCAAAGUAACUUACUUUACUUUCAAACGGGCCAAAGUAGCCGUUUUUUACUUUUCUUUCGGCCUUUUUUUCAAAGUGGUAUUCUCAAACAAAUUCGUCAAAAAUAAGUAGCCUACUUCACUUUCAAAACUCAAAAGUUGGUCCCUAACUUUCACGAAAGUUUGAUUUUUGAAAGUGACCUCGCGAGGUCACUUUCGGUAAGUUGGUUUUCAAAGUUAGCUAUUUUCACUGGAAAAUCGCAUGAAAUUUGACAGCGGCAACACUGUAUGUAUACAAUUUGUAUUAUUUGUGUGAAAAAAUACGAUAAUUUGAGAACGGCACGGCUGUAUGUGCAGAAAAAACUACGCGGUUUUGAAUAUUUGUAAACAUGGCUCGUGAAAAUGCCAUAAUAGACGAUUUUUAGAAGAUUUGGCUUAUUUAAGUGAUGAAGAGAACACUAUAUCAAGUGAUGAAGAAGAUAAAAGAGCUAGCAAAAAGAAUCGGAUGUGUAAAUUGCUACCGUUUUAUCAAACACGCAAUGAUAUAUUUGGGUACUUCUCUGAAGACAGAAUUAUGAAGACAUUCAGAUUCGACAGGGAUAGUAUCCAGUUUAUACUGGGUCUUAUUCAACAUCUCCUGCCCAAGAUGAAGAUCAGGGACACAAGAAAUCUAGAGCCGAUUGAUAUGCUUUUGAUUGCGUUGCAGUUUUAUGCAACUUGCUCUUUCCAAACGGUUGUGGGAAAUGUUCUGCGCUAUAGCCAAUCAUCAGUAUGUCGUUCCAUUGCUCGUGUCUCUUUAGCUUUGUGUAUGAUUUCUAACAAUCAUAUACAAUUUCCAGCAACGCUUUUCCAGGUAAAGAAGGAUUUUCACGAAAUCGCUCGCAUGCCAGGGGUCGUUGGGUGUAUUGAUGGAACACACAUCAGGAUUGUCAGACCUAAGAAUUGUUAAUUUCUAUUUCUCGACAAUGGAAUAAACAUAAUGUCACGAUC